rnacentral:rRNA from 1 species
CAAUAGCGUAUAUUAAAGUUGUUGCAGUUAAAAAGCUCGUAGUUGGAUUUCUGGUUGGAAAGUCCGGUUCAGUUCGAAAGAGCUGUGUACUAGUUUGACAUUUCUGGCCAUCCUUGAGAGGAACAUGCUUGGCAUUAGGUUGUCGGGUAUGGGAUUCUCAUCGUUUACUGUGAACAAAAUAGAGUGUUCAAAGCAGACUUAUGUCUUGAAUACAUUAGCAUGGAAUAAUAAGAUAGGACUUUGGUACUAUUUUGUUGGUUUGCAUACCAAAAGUAAUGAUUAAAAGGAACAGUCGGGGGUACUCAUAUCUAAUUGUCAGAGGUGAAAUUCUUGGAUUUAUGAAAGAUGAACUUAUGCGAAAGCAUUUACCAAGGAUGUUUUCAUUAA